UGGGUGCGGCACCAUGAACGAUGGCACUGGUGGCCGAAAAAAGAAAGAAGAAUGCUCGUUCAAAAUAGAAAAAAAUAGAAUUUUUAUUUUUAUGGGAUUUCCGACGAAUCCGACAACUGGCAGGGGCGCACGAUGCCAUGGAAAGGAGAGGAAGAAAGAGAGGAAGGAGGAUCGAUACUUACCUCUAACUCCGAUGAGAUCACCGAC
rnacentral:lncRNA from 1 species